rnacentral:rRNA from 1 species
GGGGAAUUUUGGACAAUGGACGCAAGUCUGAUCCAGCAAUGCCGCGUGCAGGACGAAGGCCUUCGGGUUGUAAACUGCUUUUGUACAGAACGAAAAGGCUCUGGUUAAUACCUGGGGCUCAUGACGGUACUGUAAGAAUAAGCACCGGCUAACUACGUGCCAGCAGCCGCGGUAAUACGUAGGGUGCGAGCGUUAAUCGGAAUUACUGGGCGUAAAGCGUGCGCAGGCGGUUUUGUAAGACCGAUGUGAAAUCCCCGGGCUCAACCUGGGAACUGCAUUGGUGACUGCAAGGCUGGAGUGCGGCAGAGGGGGAUGGAAUUCCGCGUGUAGCAGUGAAAUGCGUAGAUAUGCGGAGGAACACCGAUGGCGAAGGCAAUCCCCUGGGCCUGCACUGACGCUCAUGCACGAAAGCGUGGGGAGCAAAC